rnacentral:rRNA from 1 species
AGAUGGCGACCGGCGCACGGGUGAGUAACACGUAUCCAACCUGCCGAUAACUCGGGGAUAGCCUUUCGAAAGAAAGAUUAAUACCCGAUGGUAUAAUCAGACCGCAUGGUCUGUUAUUAAAGAAUUUCGGUUAUCGAUGGGGAUGCGUUCCAUUAGGCAGUUGGUGAGGUAACGGCUCACCAAACCUUCGAUGGAUAGGGGUUCUGAGAGGAAGGUCCCCCACAUUGGAACUGAGACACGGUCCAA